UCCUGACCUCAGGUGAUCCACCCACCUCGGCCUCCCAAAGUUUGCAAACGAUGCAUCCAACAAAGGGCUAAUAUCCAGAAUCUACAAGGAACUCAAACAAACCAGCCAGAAAAAUAAAUAAUCCCAUCAAAAAGUAGGCAAAUGACAUGAAUAGACAUUUCUCAAAAGAAGAUAUACAAAUGGCCAGCAAAUAUAUGAAGAAAUGCUCAACAUUACUAAUCAUUAGGGAAAUGCAAAUUAAAAUCACAAAGAGAUACCACCUUACCCCAGCCAGACCAC
rnacentral:lncRNA from 1 species